rnacentral:misc_RNA from 1 species
GAUGAAGAACGUAGCGAAAUGCGAUAAGUAAUGUGAAUUGCAGAAUUCAGUGAAUCAUCGAAUCUUUGAACGCAUCUUGCGCUCCUUGGUAUUCUGAGGAGCAUGCCUGUUUGAGUGUCAUCAAGUUCUCAACCCACAUCCUUUUUGAAGGGAUGUGGAUUUGGAUUAUGGAGUUUGCAGGCUUGAUUGAAAGGUCUGCUCCUCUGAAAUGUAUUAGUGGCAAUGUGGAAAAGCUACUGUGGGUGUGAUAACUAUCUAUGCCUAUGCAGUGCUCUGCUGUGUGCCGCUUUGGAGGGAAAAAUUUAUUUCUGACAAACUUGACCUCAAAUCAGGUAGGACUACCCGCUGAACUUAAGCAUAUCAAUAAGCGGAGGA